rnacentral:misc_RNA from 1 species
UAUCAGCUUUUUAUCAUCUUUUUUUUGUUCCUUUCUAUCAAAGCCCCAAUUUCCCUCUCUCUUUAUCCUUAAUUUCCUUUCAGCUUUUUCAGAUCUCACCACCUCCAUUUCUAAUUUUUCUUGUUAAUCUAAUAUCUUAUCUUCCAGCUUGAGCAUGUGAACGUGAAUUUUGGGAUUUCUCUUUUUUCGGGGUAAAUUCGAGUACUAAGAGAAGGUUCUUAUUGUUUAAAAGUUGGAGGUCU